UCUGGGUAAACGGACACAGCGCUUCGCUCUCAACACUUUUGUCAGCGUCCGACGAGUGCCGUAUCCGGUUGUUAGAACGGGAGUAUCGAAUGUUGUAAGGCGCCUGAGGCGUUCAUCUGAUGAUGAUGAGGAAUGAUAUGUGCCAGCUUGUCGAGUAUUCUCUCAAACCGUAAACGGUUCAAAACCAGAGGCCGGGCGACGGAUCAAUCGAAUCGUGUACAUCAUCACUGCCAGACUUCAAGUGAAGAUAUCAUUGGCGCCUUAAGGAAAUUAGCUGUGCCUUAGGGUCCUUGCAAUGAAGAGCAAUUAUAAAGGCGUAACGGGUCAAGGGGUAAAAAUAGCAGCCGCGGCUUACCUACCCUGACAGCAGUGGAUGAUUGAUACAAGCAGGAAAUGGGAGAUCUCAGCUACAAGGGACAGAUCGAUUAGAAUAGUGAAAU